UACGUAUGGUGCAAGCGUUAUCCGGAUUUACUGGGUGUAAAGGGUGCGUAGGUGGCAAGGCAAGUCUGAAGUGAAAAUCCGGGGCUCAACCCCGGAACUGCUUUGGAAACUGUUUAGCUAGAGUACAGGAGAGGUAAGCGGAAUUCCUAGUGUAGCGGUGAAAUGCGUAGAUAUUAGGAGGAACACCAGUGGCGAAGGCGACUUACUGGACUGGUACUGACACUGAGGCACGAAAGCGUGGGGAGCAAACAGG
rnacentral:rRNA from 1 species